rnacentral:rRNA from 1 species
GAUGAACGCUAGCUACAGGCUUAACACAUGCAAGUCGAGGGGAAACGACAUCGAAAGCUUGCUUUUGAUGGGCGUCGACCGGCGCACGGGUGAGUAACGCGUAUCCAACCUGCCCAUCACUUGGGAAUAACCUUGCGAAAGUAAGACUAAUACCCAAUGACAUCCCACGAAGACAUCUGAAUGGGAUUAAAGAUUUAUCGGUGAUGGAUGGGGAUGCGUCUGAUUAGCUUGUUGGCGGGGUAACGGCCCACCAAGGCAACGAUCAGUAGGGGUUCUGAGAGGAAGGUCCCCCACAUUGGAACUGAGACACGGUCCAAACUCCUACGGGAGGCAGCAGUGAGGAAUAUUGGUCAAUGGGCGAGAGCCUGAACCAGCCAAGUAGCGUGCAGGAUGACGGCACUAUGGGUUGUAAACUGCUUUUAUAAGGGAAUAAAGUGGGUCUCGUGAGACUUUUUGCAUGUACCUUAUGAAUAAGAACCGGCUAAUUCCGUG